rnacentral:tRNA from 1 species
GUCCCUGUAGCUUAAACCAAAGCAUGGCACUGAAGACGCCAAGACGGGUCCACCCCAGGGAC